UCUGUGUUUAUGUGUUAUAUGAAGUACUAAACAACAUUCAUUGUAGGCAAUCCUUUAUUUUACUGUUUUCAUGUCAUUGGACAUGUUGAACUCAGUUCAGUAUUUAAUUUAUAGUUGCUGUUGAGUUUGAAUAUAUAACAAGUCAGUAUAAAUUGCAUUUGUUUACAUGCAUGAUCAAUGCCCAUAACUGGCACUAUAACAAUUUCUAUGCAAUUACAUUCCCUAAAGUCAAUUAAUUGGAAGUCGAAGGUAACCUGCACAUGC